rnacentral:rRNA from 1 species
UACGUAGGGUGCAAGCGUUAAUCGGAAUUACUGGGCGUAAAGCGCACGUAGGUGGUUUGUUAAGCCAGCUGUGAAAUCCCCGGGCUCAACCUGGGCACUGCAGUUGGAACUGGCAAGCUAGAGUAGGGUAGAGGGGUGUGGAAUUCCAGGUGUAGCGGUGAAAUGCGUAGAUAUCUGGAGGAACAUCAGUGGCGAAGGCGACACCCUGGACUCAUACUGACACUGAGGUGCGAAAGCGUGGGGAGCAAACAGG